rnacentral:tRNA from 1 species
GGCAGUGUGGCCUAGUAGAAUGAGCACUGACCUUGUACUCAGAAGAUCUGGUUUCUAUUCCCAGCUCUGCUA